rnacentral:rRNA from 1 species
CUGAAGAGUUUGAUCAUGGCUCAGAUUGAACGCUGGCGGCAGGCCUAAGACAUGCAAGUCGAGCGAGAAAGCCCUUCGGGGUGAGUACAGCGGCGGACGGGUGAGUAACGCGUAGGAAUCUACCCAGUAGUGGGGGAUAGCCCGGGGAAACUCGGAUUAAUACCGCAUACGCCCUACGGGGGAAAGGCCGGGAUCUUCGGACCGGUCGCUAUUGGAUGAGCCUGCGUUGGAUUAGCUAGUUGGUAGGGUAAAGGCCUACCAAGGCGACGAUCCAUAGCUGGUCUGAGAGGAUGAUCAGCCACACUGGGACUGAGACACGGCCCAGACUCCUACGGGAGGCAGCAGUGGGGAAUAUUGGACAAUGGGCGCAAGCCUGAUCCAGCCAUGCCGCGUGUGUGAAGAAGGCUCUAGGGUUGUAAAGCACUUUCAGUAGGGAGGAAGGCCAGAGUGUUAAUAGCGCUUUGGAUUGACGUUACCUACAGAAGCAGCACCGGCUAACUCCGUGCCAGCAGCCGCGGUAAUACG